UGUGCGACUGUGAGAAGGAAUAGUAGGUUUCAAAGCUUUAUAGAGAGCUAGCGGGUGGUGCAAGUUAGUAAGUGUAGAAAUUGAACUCGCCUUUGAGUCUGUUUUAGCGAAGAACGUAGCUAAAACCGUCAACCGCGUUAAGGAAAUGAGUUGAGUGCGCGUCACUAAUUUGGGUGGUACCGCGGGAGUAAAAGUAUCUCUCGUCCCUUUC
rnacentral:ncRNA from 1 species